rnacentral:lncRNA from 1 species
AGGAGAAUGAGUAAGGAUGAUAUUUACUCUGAACAUUAAAGAGAUGAAGUUACGGACUGAAAAAUUGAAGAUUAAAUUGAAAGCAUAUGAAGUAAUGGUGCAGGGUGUGAGUGAAAAGACAGGAGCAUGGAAGAAACGCAGCGACUAUUGAUCGAGCAUAAGAUAACCAUCAUGCUUGCGUUUAAAGUAUAGUGAAAGCAGGCAUGUCAGAGGUCCACUACCAUAAGGUGAGAUGUGAGUGUGAAGAUUGAAGAGCAGAGAGAGAAUUAAGGAAAGAAUUUUGUGGCAGGACCCACUGAUGAGGAACAGUUUGAGAGAAUGAAAUGAAAAAAAUUAGAGUAAUUAAAUGGUUAGAAAUGAGGAGCAGAAACAGUUGGCAUGGUUUGCCGGUUAUAUUGUGACAGAAAGUUAAGGCAGAAGGGACCCAUUGGGUACAUAUAAUAGGACCUCCUCAGAGUUGCAAGAACUGCCCAUGAUAUUCGAUGUAUAUUUCUGUCCCUCCAUCGGUUACAAAACUUUCAGGAAAUCAACGUCUUACACGCAUGCAUGCUCCAUCAUCACAAACACACUGCACUAUCAACAUUUACAAAACCUUUACAGUAAUAUAAUAAAUACACCACUUUCUGCAAAACUCACAAUAUCAUACACAUCCCCUUUCUGCAACAAUCUCCCAACAUGUCCUCGUCCACAAACAAAUGCCAUAAAAAAAUUUAAAAAUUGAUCGUAUCGAAAUUUUAAAGAAGAAUUUGCGGAUAAGUAGUAAGAGAGUGGUUUCAUCGUUUGUGAUGGUGGUAAAUAUAAGUAUUUAUCAAGUAUUGGCGUGAAUAUUCUUUAAAAAGAAUAUUAAUUAGAUUUAUAAAAUCAAUAUAUA